rnacentral:rRNA from 1 species
UACAGAGGUCUCAAGCGUUGUUCGGAAUUAUUGGGCGUAAAGGGUGCGUAGGCGGCGCGGUAAGUCGGGUGUGAAAUCUUGGAGCUUAACUCCGAAACUGCAUUCGAUACUGCCGUGCUUGAGGACUGGAGAGGAGACUGGAAUUUACGGUGUAGCGGUGAAAUGCGUAGAUAUCGUAAGGAAGACCAGUGGCGAAGGCGGGUCUCUGGACAGUUCCUGACGCUGAGGCACGAAGGCCAGGGGAGCAAACGGG